GCCCGGGUGGUGGAAUUGGUAGACACGACGGACUUAAAAUCCGUUGACUUACAAGUCAUGGGGGUUCAAGUCCCCCCCCGGGCACCA
rnacentral:tRNA from 1 species